AUACGUAGGUGACAAGCGUUAUCCGGAUUUACUGGGCGUAAAGGGCGUGUAGGCGGUCUUGCAAGUCAGAAGUGAAAUUCCUGAGCUCAACUCGGGCGCUGCUUCUGAAACUGCAGGACUUGAGUGCUGGAGGGGAUAGCGGAAUUCCUAGUGGAGCGGUAAAAUGCGCAGAUAUUAGGAAGAACACCGGUGGCGAAGGCGGCUAUCUGGACAGUAACUGACGCUGAGGCGCGAAAGCGUGAGGAGCAAACAGGAUUAGAUACCCUGGUAGUCCACACCGCCAACGAUGAGCACUAGGUGUCGGGCUCGCAAGAGUUCGGUGCCGCAGUUAACGCAUUAAGGGCUCGGCCUGGGGAGUACGUACGCAAGUAUGAAACUCAAAUGAAUUGGUGGGG
rnacentral:rRNA from 1 species